GAUGAACGCUGGCGGCGUGCCUAAUACAUGCAAGUCGAGCGAACGGACGAGAAGCUUGCAUCUCUGAUGUUAGCGGCGGACGGGUGAGUAACACGUGGAUAACCUACCUAUAAGACUGGGAUAACUUCGGGAAACCGGAGCUAAUACCGGAUAAUAUUUUGAACCGCAUGGUUCAAAAGUGAAAGACGGUCUUGCUGUCACUUAUAGAUGGAUCCGCGCUGCAUUAGCUAGUUGGUAAGGUAACGGCUUACCAAGGCAACGAUGCAUAGCCGACCUGAGAGGGUGAUCGGCCACACUGGAACUGAGACACGGUCCAGACUCCUACGGGAGGCAGCAGUAGGGAAUCUUCCGCAAUGGGCGAAAGCCUGACGGAGCAACGCCGCGUGAGUGAUGAAGGUCUUCGGAUCGUAAAACUCUGUUAUUAGGGAAGAACAUAUGUGUAAGUAACUGUGCACAUCUUGACGGUACCUAAUCAGAAAGCCACGGCUAACUACGU
rnacentral:rRNA from 1 species